ensembl:lncRNA
AGUCACUCUCACAGACACACGCACACAGUCACUCUCACAGACACACGCACACAGUCACUCUCACAGACACACGCACACAGUCACUCUCACAGACACAGUCACUCACAGACUCACAGACACAAUCACUCUCACAGACACACAGACAGUCACUCUCACAGACACCCAGACACACACACAGUCACUCUCAGACACACACACACAGUCGCUCUCACAGACACACACAGUCGCUCUCACAGACACACACAGUCGCUCUCACAGACACACAGUCGCUCUCACACACACACAGUCGCUCUCACAGACACACAGUCGCUCUCACAGACACACAGUCGCUCUCAGACACACACAGUCGCUCUCACAGACACACACAGUCGCUCUCUCACACACACAGUCGCUCUCUCACACACACAGUCGCUCUCACAGACACACACACACACACAGAGGUACUCUCUCACACACACACAGAGUCACUCUCACACACACAGUCACUCUCACAGACACAGACACACAGUCACACACACACACAGAGGUACUCUCACAGACACACACACACACACACACACAGUCACACAGUCACAGACACAGUCACAGUCACUCACACAGGUACACACAGUCACUCACACACACACACAGUCACUCUCACACACACACACAGUCACUCUCACACACACACACAGUCACUCUCACACACACACACAGUCACUCUCACACACACAGUCACUCUCACACACACACACAGUCACUCUCACACACAGUCACUCCCACAGACACACAGACACACAGUCACACAGUCACACACACACACAGAGGUACUCUCACGGACACACACACACACAGUCACUCACAGACACAGACACACAGUCAGUCAGUCAGUCACUCUCUCUCACACAAACGGUCACUCACACACACACACACACACACACACACACACACACACACACACACACACACACACACACACACACACACACACACAGGUACUCUCACAGUCGCGCGUGCACACACACGCAGACAGUCGCGCGUGCACACAGAGACAGACGGACAGUCGCGCGCGCACGCACAGAGACAGACGGACAGUCGCGCGCGCGCACGCACAGAGACAGAAGGACAGGCGCGCGCGCACACAGGCGCGGACAGGCGCGCGGGCGCGGACAGUCGCGGACAGUCGCGGACAGUCGCGCGCGGACACGCAGUCACUCUCACAGACGCGCACACACACAGUCACUCUCACACUCUCACAGACACACACAGACACACACAGACACACACAGCCAGGCAGUCACUCUCACACAGACGGUCACUCUCACACACACAGAGGUACUCUCACAGUCGCGUGCGCACACACAGUCGCGUGUCGUGGGCACACAGAGACAGACGGACAGUCGCGAGCGUGCGCACACAGAGACAGGCACACACAGCCAGGCGCGUGCGCACGCGCACACACACACACACACACACACACACAGCCAGGCAUGCGCGCGCAGACACAGACACAGUCACAGACACAGGACAGUCAGACCCCCCUCCACUGUCACACUCUGUCUCUCUGUAGUGAUGAUCGAGCACCCCAGUGCCCCUCAAUUGAAGACGUUAACCCUAGAGCUAAGCAAAGAAUAGCCACGGACCCCACCCCCUUCCCAAAGACUUAGGACAGGAUAGGGCGGGCUUUAGGCAGGAAGAGGAUUCUGUGACUGACUGAAACAUUUGAUUACUUUUUCCUUUUUUUCCCCUUUUCACUUCUCUUGAGUGGAGUUAUUGAUUUGUAUGUAUCUAUAAACAAAAAGGAAAUUUGUACAAAAUAUACUUAUACCGCAAAACUCGUACAUAAAGAAGUAUACAAUUGUUUUGCAAUUUUGCUCUAAUUCAGGGGAGAGCAAAAUAAAAAGCAACCUGAAGUUGGAGGAAAAUACCUCCGGGUAUUGUAAUGGAAUAUCUCUACUGUAGCCCUGUUCCCCAGAGGACAUUAAAUCCUGCUGCACAAGUGAUGUCACGUCCUGUGGAAGGGCGGGUAGUGAUGUCUCUGUUGGGAUAUCCAACAAAGUAGUUGACAGGUGAAUAUCACCUGAAUUCUUCAACACCAGAACAGUCAAACUCAAACAAACCUAUAUUUGGAAAUGCUCAGUGCUAUCUGGGAUCCUUGGGACGUGCCUACCCUUAACCCUAAUCUUAAACAUAACCCUUACCUAUUUUAAAUGUCUACUUCAAUGGGGGGGUAUUGACGUCCCAAGGAUUCCGGCUUGCACAGACCAAUUGCCAAAUCUGGGAUUUUUUGGGGGUUUCUCUUUUUAAAUUCUCCCAUUCUUUUAAAAAUGUACUUUAUGUUGAAAUUGAAAAAUAUCUACUUGGCUUGUUCUGGUCCAGGCUGUGGAGCUUCCAGAUUUGCCAUUUUUACUUUUAUGAUUUCGUUUUAUGCACACGUCUGAGAGGUAGUUUUUUUUCUCUCUUCCUGCGGAAAGAGACAGAUACUGAAGACGGGAGUGAGGAUAGAACACGACCUCUGACCUUUGCAGAACUUAACUUUUUUUGUGGUUUUUAUUUUAUUUUGUCACAUCAACAACCUGAAUAAUUGUACAAAAUGCAAUGUGUAUCUCUUAAACAAGUCUCUUGAGAAUAUACAAAUAUAUAUUUCCAUAAUGCCUGUACAAAGCUGCUGCAGCUGACAAGUCAUUGUUGGAACUGGACUCACUCUGCAGAACGAUAACCUACAUACUAUCAAAGACGGACGGAUGGGGUGUUCAGUUUUAAAAAAUGUGUUUUGUCUUUAUUUUUAAACAUUCAUAUGUAUUAUGAUGACAUGCUGAUGAACCUGCUUGUCUAUCUGCAGGGACUAACUGUCAUUUUACCAUCCCAGAGCCGUCCCAGUUGGUCUCCAGGACCUAGGUCUCUGGUCUGGACUUGUUUCCCUCUGUUUAUGACCUGUUCAAACAGUGCACAGCAAAAGCAGGGAAGUUGUUAUUUUCAAUGGAAGCCUGGCAGCAGUAGCAAUGAGGCAUUUCUAGGUGAAGUCUCACCCACGAAAAGUAGGUCCGGUCAUCUGGUCACUACUGUAGAUGGUCAAAUAAGUUGCUACGCUGCCACCACAAGGCAUAAUACUCUUUUGCAGCUGUGUGUUUGAAUGGGCCAUUAGGCUGCUAACUACUGAUAGACAGUGGG